GCCCGCCUAGCUCAAUCGGAUAGAGCGUCAGACUCUUAAGGCGGGUUCGUCCCCUCGGAUGAUCUGAAGGCUGCGAGUUCGACCCUCGCGGUGGGCU
rnacentral:tRNA from 1 species